CCGCGUGAGGGACGAAGGCCUCUGGGCUGUAAACCUCUUUUCUCAAGGAAAAAGAUAUGACGGUACUUGAGGAAUAAGCCACGGCUAAUUCCGUGCCAGCAGCCGCGGUAAUACGGGAGUGGCAAGCGUUAUUCGGAAUUAUUGGGCGUAAAGCGUCCGCAGGCGGCUUUUCAAGUCUGCUGUUAAAGCGUGGAGCUUAACUCCAUCAUGGCAGUGGAAGCUGAAAGGCUUGAGUAUGGUAGGGGCAGAGGGAAUUCCCGGUGUAGCGGUGAAAUGCGUAUAUAUCGGGAAGAACACCAGUGGCGAAGGCGCUCUGCUGGGCCAUUACUGACGCUCAUGGACGAAAGCCAGGGGAGCGAAAGGGAUUAGAUACCCCUGUAGUCCUGGCCGUAAACAAUGAACACUAGGUGUCGGGGGAAUCGACCCCUUCGGUGUCGUAGCUAACGCGUUAAGUGUUCCGCCUGGGGAGU
rnacentral:rRNA from 1 species